rnacentral:snoRNA from 1 species
AGACCAUGAUGAGGACACUCUAAGAGGAGUCUUUGAAACGUUCCAUACAUCGAGAGAAUCGUUCAUUGGGUCUUUGGUGAAACUGGAGAAUGUCAUUCCUAAGAUU